CAUCCUGGGAGGGAGAGGAUUUGCCAAGCAGCUAAGUGUCCCAGUGUUUCCAGUCUUCCACCCGUGGAAUCCCAUUGGAGGAAAUGUCACUGUAACACUGGUGUUAGAUUUCCUAUGGCCCCUGCCUCCAUGGAGUGACCACGUGAGAAAGUGCCUGCAGGGUCCCAUCAGAGCCCACACAAGCUUGAGGGAGGCU